GAGAGUGUUGAAGAGAAGAAAAAGAAGGCUCCUGCUGUGCCAGAAACCUUUAAGUAAAAGUGAAGGCAUUUUGCAGAGCUGAAGAUCAAGUGCCAGAGAAAAAAGUUUGCCCAAAGGAUGCUUCGAAAGGAAGGAAGGAAGCUUAUCUAUGAAGAAGCUAAACACUAUCACUAGGAAUAUAGACAGAUGUAUAGAACUGAGAUAUGAAUGGCUAGAAUGGCAAGAAAAGCUGGCAACUUCUGUGUACCUGCAGAACCCAAAUUGGCAUUGAUCAUUAGGAUCAGAGGUCUCAGUGGUGGCAGCCCAAGGGUCCGAAAGGUGUGGCAGCUUCUUUGCCUUGUCAGAUCUUCAUCAGAAACUUUGUUAAGUUCAACAGUGCUUCAAUUUACAUGCUGAGGAUUGUAGAACCAUAUAUUGCAUGAGAGUCUCCGAACCUGAAUUCAGUAAAUGAACUAGUCUCCAAGUGUGGUUACAGCAAAAUCAAUAUGAAGCAAAUUGUCUUGACAGAUAACACUUUGAUGGCUUGAUCUCUUGGUAAAUAUGGAAUCAUCUGUGCAGAGGAUCUGAUUCAUGAGGUCUGUGCUGUUGGAAAAUGCUUCAAAGAAGCAAAUAACUUCCUCAGGCCUUUCAAAUUAUCUUCUCCAUGAGGAGGAAUGAAGGAAAAGACCACCUAUUUUGUAGAAGGUGGAGAUGCUGGCAACAGGGACAACCAGAUCAAAAAGCUCCUUAGAAGGAUGAAC
rnacentral:lncRNA from 1 species